GAGCGAAACGGGAAGAGCCCAAACCAACAAGCUUGCUUGUUGGGGUUGUAGGACACUCUAUACGGAGUUACAAAGGACGACAUUAGACGAAUCAUCUGGAAAGAUGAAUCAAAGAAGGUAAUAAUCCUGUAGUCGAAAAUGUUGUCUCUCUUGAGUGGAUCCUGAGUACGACGGAGCACGUGAAAUUCCGUCGGAAUCUGGGAGGACCAUCUCCUAAGGCUAAAUACUCUCUAGUGACCGAUAGUGAACCAGUACCGUGAGGGAAAGGUGAAAAGCACCCCGGAAGGGGAGUGAAAUAGAACCUGAAACCGUGUGCUUACAAGUAGUCAGAGCCCGUUAAUGGGUGAUGGCGUGCCUUUUGUAGAAUGAACCGGCGAGUUACGAUUUGAUGCAAGGUUAAGCAGUAAAUGUGGAGCCGUAGCGAAAGCGAGUCUGAAUAGGGCGUUUAGUAUUUGGUCGUAGACCCGAAACCAGGUGAUCUACCCUUGGUCAGGUUGAAGUUCAGGUAACACUGAAUGGAGGACCGAACCGACUUACGUUGAAAAGUGAGCGGAUGAACUGAGGGUAGCGGAGAAAUUCCAAUCGAACCUGGAGAUAGCUGGUUCUCUCCGAAAUAGCUUUAGGGCUAGCCUCAAGUGAUGAUUAUUGGAGGUAGAGCACUGUUUGGACGAGGGGCCCCUCUCGGGUUACCGAAUUCAGACAAACUCCGAAUGCCAAUUAAUUUAACUUGGGAGUCAGAACAUGGGUGAUAAGGUCCGUGUUCGAAAGGGAAACAGCCCAGACCACCAGCUAAGGUCCCAAAAUAUAUGUUAAGUGGAAAAGGAUGUGGCGUUGCCCAGACAACUAGGAUGUUGGCUUAGAAGCAGCCAUCAUUUAAAGAGUGCGUAAUAGCUCACUAGUCGAGUGACACUGCGCCGAAAAUGUACCGGGGCUAAACAUAUUACCGAAGCUGUGGAUUGUCCUUUGGACAAUGGUAGGAGAGCGUUCUAAGGGCGUUGAAGCAUGAUCGUAAGGACAUGUGGAGCGCUUAGAAGUGAGAAUGCCGGUGUGAGUAGCGAAAGACGGGUGAGAAUCCCGUCCACCGAUUGACUAAGGUUUCCAGAGGAAGGCUCGUCCGCUCUGGGUUAGUCGGGUCCUAAGCUGAGGCCGACAGGCGUAGGCGAUGGAUAACAGGUUGAUAUUCCUGUACCACCUAUAAUCGUUUUAAUCGAUGGGGGGACGCAGUAGGAUAGGCGAAGCGUGCGAUUGGAUUGCACGUCUAAGCAGUAAGGCUGAGUAUUAGGCAAAUCCGGUACUCGUUAAGGCUGAGCUGUGAUGGGGAGAAGACAUUGUGUCUUCGAGUCGUUGAUUUCACACUGCCGAGAAAAGCCUCUAGAUAGAAAAUAGGUGCCCGUACCGCAAACCGACACAGGUAGUCAAGAUGAGAAUUCUAAGGUGAGCGAGCGAACUCUCGUUAAGGAACUCGGCAAAAUGACCCCGUAACUUCGGGAGAAGGGGUGCUCUUUAGGGUUAACGCCCAGAAGAGCCGCAGUGAAUAGGCCCAAGCGACUGUUUAUCAAAAACACAGGUCUCUGCUAAACCGUAAGGUGAUGUAUAGGGGCUGACGCCUGCCCGGUGCUGGAAGGUUAAGAGGAGUGGUUAGCUUCUGCGAAGCUACGAAUCGAAGCCCCAGUAAACGGCGGCCGUAACUAUAACGGUCCUAAGGUAGCGAAAUUCCUUGUCGGGUAAGUUCCGACCCGCACGAAAGGCGUAACGAUUUGGGCACUGUCUCAACGAGAGACUCGGUGAAAUCAUAGUACCUGUGAAGAUGCAGGUUACCCGCGACAGGACGGAAAGACCCCGUGGAGCUUUACUGUAGCCUGAUAUUGAAAUUCGGCACAGCUUGUACAGGAUAGGUAGGAGCCUUUGAAACGUGAGCGCUAGCUUACGUGGAGGCGCUGGUGGGAUACUACCCUAGCUGUGUUGGCUUUCUAACCCGCACCACUUAUCGUGGUGGGAGACAGUGUCAGGCGGGCAGUUUGACUGGGGCGGUCGCCUCCUAAAAGGUAACGGAGGCGCUCAAAGGUUCCCUCAGAAUGGUUGGAAAUCAUUCAUAGAGUGUAAAGGCAUAAGGGAGCUUGACUGCGAGACCUACAAGUCGAGCAGGGUCGAAAGACGGACUUAGUGAUCCGGUGGUUCCGCAUGGAAGGGCCAUCGCUCAACGGAUAAAAGCUACCCCGGGGAUAACAGGCUUAUCUCCCCCAAGAGUUCACAUCGACGGGGAGGUUUGGCACCUCGAUGUCGGCUCAUCGCAUCCUGGGGCUGUAGUCGGUCCCAAGGGUUGGGCUGUUCGCCCAUUAAAGCGGUACGCGAGCUGGGUUCAGAACGUCGUGAGACAGUUCGGUCCCUAUCCGUCGUGGGCGUAGGAAAUUUGAGAGGAGCUGUCCUUAGUACGAGAGGACCGGGAUGGACAUACCUCUGGUGUACCAGUUGUCGUGCCAACGGCAUAGCUGGGUAGCUAUGUGUGGACGGGAUAAGUGCUGAAAGCAUCUAAGCAUGAAGCCCCCCUCAAGAUGAGAUUUCCCAACUUCGGUUAUAAGAUCCCUCAAAGAUGAUGAGGUUAAUAGGUUCGAGGUGGAAGCAUGGUGACAUGUGGAGCUGACGAAUACUAAUCGAUCGAAGACUUAAUCAA
rnacentral:rRNA from 1 species